AUUGAACGCUGGCGGCAGGCUUAACACAUGCAAGUCGAGCGGAGAUGAGGUGCUUGCACCUUAUCUUAGCGGCGGACGGGUGAGUAAUGCUUAGGAAUCUGCCUAUUAGUGGGGGACAACAUUCCGAAAGGAAUGCUAAUACCGCAUACGACCUACGGGAGAAAGCAGGGGAUCUUCGGACCUUGCGCUAAUAGAUGAGCCUAAGUCGGAUUAGCUAGUUGGGGGGGUAAAGGCCUACCAAGGCGACGAUCUGUAGCGGGUCUGAGAGGAUGAUCCGCCACACUGGGACUGAGACACGGCCCAGACUCCUACGGGAGGCAGCAUUGGGGAAUAUUGAACAAGGGGUGGAACCCUGAUCCAGCCAUGCCGCGUGUGUGAAGAAGGCCUUAUGGUUGUAAAGCACUUUAAGCGAGGAGGAGGCUACUCUAGUUAAUACCUAGGGAUAGUGGACGUUACUCGCAGAAUAAGCACCGGCUAACUCUGUGCCAGCAGCCGCCGUAAUAC
rnacentral:rRNA from 1 species